rnacentral:rRNA from 1 species
AGAGUUUGAUCAUGGCUCAGAACGAACGCUGGCGGCAUGCCUAACACAUGCAAGUCGAACGCUUUUGGGGUUUCGGCCUCAAGGGAGUGGCGCACGGGUGAGUAGCGCGUGGGAACCUGCCCUGUUGUGGGGGAUAACCGAGGGAAACUUCGGCUAAUACCGCAUGCGCCCGGGGAAACCCGGGGAAAGAUUUAUCGCAGCAGGAGGGGCCCGCGUCGGAUUAGCUAGUUGGUGGGGUAACGGCCUACCAAGGCAUCGAUCCGUAGCUGGUCUGAGAGGAUGAUCAGCCACACUGGGACUGAGACACGGCCCAGACUCCUACGGGAGGCAGCAGUGGGGAAUAUUGGACAAUGGGCGCAAGCCUGAUCCAGCAAUGCCGCGUGAGUGAUGAAGGCCUUAGGGUUGUAAAGCUCUUUCGCCCGCGACGAUGAUGACGGUAGCGGGAGAAGAAGCCCCGGCUAACUUCGUGCCAGCAGCCGCGGUAAUACGAAGGGGGCGAGCGUUGUUCGGAUUUACUGGGCGUAAAGGGCGCGUAGGCGGCGGACCAAGUCGAGUGUGAAAGCCCCGGGCUCAACCUGGGAGGUGCGCUCGAGACUGGCCCGCUGGAGUUCGGGAGAGGAGCGUGGAAUUCCCAGUGUAGAGGUGAAAUUCGUAGAUAUUGGGAAGAACACCGGUGGCGAAGGCGGCGCUCUGGACCGAGACUGACGCUGAGGCGCGAAGGCGUGGGGAGCAAACAGGAUUAGAUACCCUAGUAGUCC